rnacentral:rRNA from 1 species
GACGAACGCUGGCGGCGUGCUUAACACAUGCAAGUCGAACGGAAAGGCACUGCUUUUGUGGGGUGCUCGAGUGGCGAACGGGUGAGUAACACGUGAGUAACCUGCCCUUGACUUUGGGAUAACUUCAGGAAACUGGGGCUAAUACCGGAUAGGAGCUCCUGCUGCAUGGUGGGGGUUGGAAAGUUUCGGCGGUUGGGGCUGGACUCGCGGCUUAUCAGCUUGUUGGUGGGGUAGUGGCUUACCAAGGCUUUGGAGGGUAGCCGGCCUGAGAGGGUGACCGGCCACAUUGGGACUGCGAUACGGCCCAGACUCCUACGUGAGGCAGCAGUGGGGAAUAUUGCACAAUGGGCGGACGCCUGAUGCAGCAACGCCGCGUGCGGGAUGACGGCCUUCGGGUUGUAAACCGCUUUCGCCUGUGGCGAAGCGUUAGUGACGGUAAUGGGUAAAGAAGCACCGGCUAACUACGUG